rnacentral:misc_RNA from 1 species
GAUCGUGAAAAUCGAGAGACAUUGCAGAGGCUUACAGCGGCUUGGGCAGCCGCAACUCCUCAUUCUCCUUCCAGAUUGCUGUUCUCCCUCAGUGGAAUCGUCGUUAUCGUUCAGGAUUCAAUAAUUUUUGUUCAGGGGACUGUUUGUUUAAUAUUGGACGUUGCCUGAAAAACGACGAGAAGGGGAAGGACGAUCGACGGCGAUACUCGUAUUUAUAGAAUCUUUGUUAAUUGAGAAUGUUCUACCUCAGUCUAAUAGAGCAUACUUUGCGUUUGCCUCCUUCUCUCCUUAGCCUUCCUCUCCAAGAUGCUAUUAAGAAGGAGCUUGAGAAUAUCUUUUUAGACAAGGUUAUUGCUAGUUUGGGCUUAUGCAUUUCAGUAUAUGACAUCAGAAAAAUUGAGGGUGGCUUUAUCUUUCCUGGAGAUGGUGCAUCCACAUACGUGGUAUGUUGAAACUAUUUUUCCAAGUGUAGUAAUUGUGCUCUAUUUUGUUAUUUUUCUAGUCUUUUACCUUUUAACUAUAGUAAGCACUCAGUUGACUGUUUAAUGCAUUAUUCAUUCUUUUCCUCAGAUAAUAGGAUAGGGUUGCAAGCCUGAGUAAUGGUUUUCAUCCUAUGUAAUUGGUGGAAGGUUUGAGAUCACUACGUGAAUUUUCCUCAUUGUCUUAAAUGAAGGUGAUAUGGAAUCUAGAAUCUCAACUAGGUUACUAAAGCUUAAAAUUUCCUCAUAAUGUCAGUAGGAAGUAGGACCCUUUGAAAUAGUUUUAGUAAUCAGAAAUGUUGGUGCUAGAGCUAAGUGGGUGAUACCUUUAUUCCUUUGGAGAUAUUGAGCAGUUAUACAUUUUAAUUUGGGGACAGACACAGAUUAGGCUCUUGAAUUUUAUCAUAUACAUGUCACCCUUGGUGUAUUUCUUAGGUGAUAGCUGCUUCACAUGCUAUAAUGUUCUUUGAUUUAUUAUAUAUGACACGAUGGGUUAAUUUUUUUGCCAGUAGUGCCUAAAUCAUUCUCAGUGCUUAUCAUAAAAUUGGUCAAUCAUGAUGUUUUGUUAUUCUGGCAGGUUGAAUUUAGAAUGGUUAUAUUCCGUCCGUUUGUGGGAGAAAUAAUUGCUGGAAAACUUAAAGAAUCUAACAAGGAUGGUUUGCGCUGUAUGUUCAAGAAGUAGUUUAUGUAUAUCUUUCCUUUCUAUCUAGUUUCUGCAGUACUAUUAUCAUUUUUAAGAUGAUGGCAUCGCUGUGGCACAAAUAGAUCAAACAGGAUAUGUAGGUUUAUAGGAUUGGGGUAGUUGGCAGUUCGAUUAAUAAUAGUUGGGUACUUGAUUCAUUAAGAGACUGCUCCCUUUUGUUUGUUAAAUCAAAAGAAAAAAGUGUAGCAAAAUAAAGCUUAUAUGUUUACUAGAAUUGUCAAUGGUGUGCUUCCUCACUGUAAUUACUAAAAUCAAUAUCUUGCAUUCUUCAUAUUUUGUGUCAUUGCAUUGAGCUAUAACUGUAAGGUUUCUGCAUACUGAUGUUGGGGGCCUUAUCAACAGUGUCACUUGGAUUUUUUGAUGACAUUUACAUACCAGCACAUCGUUUGCCAAAGCCAUCCAGUUAUGAACAUGACCAAGAGAAUAGGUAAGGGUCUCUGCUUAAAUUAUUAUCCUUUGUUAGGACAACAAAUAAAAUUUCAUACAUGUUGAUGCAUCCUUCAGUAUUUCUGGUGUUUUUAUUAUUUACAUCAUGAGCAUGUGUGUCCAUGUGCAAAUUAUCUAAUUCAAAAUUUGCUGUAAGAAUUGCAGGUAUCAGGUUAUAUGGACAUGGGAAUAUGAUUCAGAAGAUAACAACAAGUUCUAUAUCGACGGCUUAGAUGAGAUUAAGUUUCGAGUUGACAGUGUAGAUUAUCCUCCAGUUCCAAUUGAGCAACCUGAAAAGCCAUUUGCCCCUAUGGUGAUUACAGGAACACUUGAUGAUGAUGGUUUAGGCCCUGUUACAUGGUGGUGAUGCAGAAUUUUUGGAAUUCUAACAGUGUCUGUCAAACUUGUAGAGAAAAUAUCUCUUUAUGAUAGAGGUUCAAUCUUUUCAAUUUUCUCUGGCCUCUGUUCAAAUGAAUAGAAAAUGCAACAACCUAAACUAGAAGCUUGGAUGCUUUUGACGGUUAGGAAAUUCGAUUUUUUGUUUGGUUAUUAAUAUUAUUAUUAUUUUAUGAUGAUCUUUCUGGUUGUAAUCUUCGGCAAUUGAAAUGAAAAUAUGUAUUGAUUGCAUGUUAAUAUUUUAAUGUUUUAUCAUUUUGUACAAUUCAAUGAUGGGAGAUUUGUUUUUGCCUAGGUUUUUAAUAUUGCAUUAUCAUUUUUUU